UACGAAGGGGGCAAGCGUUGUUCGGAAUGACUGGGCGUAAAGGGCGCGUAGGCGGUUCGUUGCGUCAGAUGUGAAAGCCCCGGGCUCAACCUGGGAACUGCAUUUGAUACGGGCGAGCUUGAAUCCAAGAGAGGGUGGUGGAAUUCCCAGUGUAGAGGUGAAAUUCGUAGAUAUUGGGAAGAACACCAGUGGCGAAGGCGGCCACCUGGCUUGGUAUUGACGCUGAGGCGGCGAAAAGCGUGGGGAGCAAACAGGG
rnacentral:rRNA from 1 species